rnacentral:tRNA from 1 species
AAGGGCUUAGGUUAAAUAGACCAGGAGCCUUCAAAGCUCUCAGCGGGAGUUAAAACCCCCCAACCCUUG